GCCAGUAUGGUUCAGUGGUUUGAGUGUUGGACUAUGAUUCUGGAGAUCAGGGUUUGAUUCCCAGGUCAGACA